rnacentral:rRNA from 1 species
UGGGGAAUAUUGGACAAUGGGCGCAAGCCUGAUCCAGCCAUGCCGCGUGAGUGACGAAGGUCUUCGGAUUGUAAAACUCUUUUGGCGGGGACGAUAAUGACGGUACCCGCAGAAUAAGCCCCGGCUAACUUCGUGCCAGCAGCCGCGGUAAUACGAAGGGGGCUAGCGUUGUUCGGAAUCACUGGGCGUAAAGCGCACGUAGGCGGAUGUGCCAGUCAGGGGUGAAAUCCCGGAGCUCAACUCCGGAACUGCCUCUGAUACUGCACGUCUUGAGUUCGAGAGAGGUGGGUGGAAUUCCUAGUGUAGAGGUGAAAUUCGUAGAUAUUAGGAAGAACACCGGUGGCGAAGGCGGCCCACUGGCUCGAUACUGACGCUGAGGUGCGAAAGCGUGGGGAGCAAACAGGAUUAGAUACCCACGUAGUCCCUGAGCGGGCUGGCAAGGCGCAU